CAGGAGGAUGGAGGACGGGUCUCACACUGCUCUGUUCCGGGACUGUCACCACUGAGCAGACAUGCUCCAGAGACCUGUCAGUAAUUCAGAGAACACCAGGUCUGCGGACCAGAGUCUGAGAAAUGCUGCAUCAGAGGAUCCAAAUGCUUAAGACAUGACUGAGGUGCAACUGAAGGUCCAAAAUCUAAAACUAGGAGCUCGCCAGGCCUUUUCUGAGCACCUCCAUGGGACACUGAGAGAUUCUCCUAACCUGUUUGGUCAUGGAGUCUUUAGGGUUGCAUAUGGAACACCUCUAUCUCAGUGUGAGCAAUCUGGGGUUGACUGAGGCUGACCAGGACAGAAAUCAGGAUCCUGCACAUGUGCAUUUGGAGGCUCAGCUUCCCUCGUACAGGCUCAGAGGAUGAGGUGGCCUUGCAAAAUCUGGCUGUGCCUCCUGGGCAAUGAAGCUGCAGGGUGUAACGUGCCCUCCCUCUGUGCCUGCAAGCACUUGUGUGCAAGGCAGUAGGCCUGCUGGACCGCUUGCCUCUGUUACCGAGGUGGAAGGAGCCAAACCAUUGCUACCACCGUUCCCAGCACCUCUGGGGCUCUUCCUUUUCCCUGGAUGCUACAAAAGUCCUUUUCAGUGUGUCAGGACUCCCCUUUGGAGAGCUCAGCACUGCCCUCUCCUUGCUAUCUGGAGUGUCUCCACAGCCAACGGGAAGCCAAGUGCUUAAUUACUUUUGGACUCUUUCGAAAAGCCUCAGAUACUCCAAUGAUGAGCUCAGAAAUGUUUGGAUUAUCAGCUGCAAGCAACCAGGGAGGUAGGUCAGCCUUUGGAAUAGCUCAUCUAUCAUUGCUGUCUAUGAUCCAUAUGGGAACAGGCCAUCUGAACGAGCAACCAAACACCUUCAUGUAGAGGUUUCUGCCUCUACAUAGGCUGACGUGCUAAAGAGGGAGGACUUAGCUACAGGGCUUCUGUGUAGCACCUACUAAUUUCCAAUACAGCUCUGGAAAUCCCGUCUCACAUGUAAGCCAAGCUGCCUUCAUCCUGCUUACUCUUUCCUAUAUGGCAGGCAGCGUCAUAGACUGAAGCGAGAAGAAAUGCACCUUCUGGUGUGCCAAGAAUAUGGAGUGCUGAUGAUUUCUUGCUAAAACGUUCCUGACUGGGGUUCUGGCCUCAUGUUUCCUGGGAUGCUUGUUUCACUUUGUGCUGACUUGCAGUGAAAAAUACG